rnacentral:rRNA from 1 species
CAAUAGCGUAUAUUAAAGUUGUUGCAGUUAAAAAGCUCGUAGUUGGAUUUCUGAUCGAGACAUCAGGUCGGGUCCGAGAGGAUCAUGUACUUUGAUUUUGUUUUGAUCAUCCUUGGGGAGAGCAUUUCUGGCAUUCAGUUGUCGGGAUUGGGAUCCUCAUCGUUUACUGUGAAAAAAUUAGAGUGUUCAAAGCAGGCCUCGGCCUCUGAAUACAUUAGCAUGGAAUAAUAAGAUAGGACUUUGGUGGUCUAUUUUGUUGGUUUGCACGCCAAAGUAAUGAUUAAUAGGGAUAGUUGGGGGUAUUCGUAUUCAAUUGUCAGAAGUGAAAUUCUUGGAUUUAUGGAAGACGAACUACUGCGAAAGCAUUUACCAAGGAUGUUUUCAUUAA